AAGUCGUAACAAGGUUUCCGUAGGUGAACCUGCGGAAGGAUCAUUAAUGAAAUGUAAGGGAUGCUCUUUUUAGAGGUCCGACCAAAACAUUUUCCUUUCUACACUGUGCACACACUACACUUUUUACACCUUUUUAAACUCUUCAGUUUUAAGAAUGUAUAACAGUCUCUUUAUUGAGCAUAAAUAAAAUAAAA
rnacentral:misc_RNA from 1 species